UAAUACGAAGGGGGCUAGCGUUGCUCGGAAUGACUGGGCGUAAAGGGCGCGUAGGCGGAUGGCACAGUCAGAUGUGAAAUUCCCGGGCUUAACCUGGGGGCUGCAUUUGAUACGUGUUGUCUAGAGUGAGGAAGAGGGUCGUGGAAUUCCCAGUGUAGAGGUGAAAUUCGUAGAUAUUGGGAAGAACACCGGUGGCGAAGGCGGCGACCUGGUCCUUGACUGACGCUGAGGCGCGAAAGCGUGGGGAGCAAACAGGAUUAGAUACCCUGGUAGUCCACGCUGUAAACGAUGUGUGCUGGAUGUUGGGCGACCUAGUCGCUCAGUGUCGUAGCUAACGCGAUAAGCACACCGCCUGGGGAGUACGGCCGCAAGGUUG
rnacentral:rRNA from 1 species